rnacentral:rRNA from 1 species
UACGGAGGGUGCAAGCGUUAAUCGGAAUUACUGGGCGUAAAGCGUGCGCAGGCGGUUUGUUAAGUCUGUUGUGAAAUCCCCGAGCUCAACUUGGGAAUUGCAAUGGAUACUGGCAGGCUGGAGUAUGGUAGAGGAGGGUGGAAUUCCCGGUGUAGCAGUGAAAUGCGUAGGGAUCGGGAGGAACACCAGUGGCGAAGGCGGCCUUCUGGACCAAUACUGACGCUCAUGCACGAAAGCGUGGGGAGCAAACAGG